rnacentral:rRNA from 1 species
CCUACGGGUGGCAGCAGUGGGGAAUAUUGGACAAUGGGGGGAACCCUGAUCCAGCCAUGCCGCGUGUGUGAAGAAGGCCCUCGGGUUGUAAAGCACUUUCAGUGAGGAAGAACGCCUGGUGGUUAAUACCCAUCAGGAAAGACAUCGCUCACAGAAGAAGCACCGGCUAACUCCGUGCCAGCAGCCGCGGUAAUACGGAGGGUGCGAGCGUUAAUCGGAAUUACUGGGCGUAAAGCGCGCGUAGGUGGCUUGAUAAGCCGGUUGUGAAAGCCCCGGGCUCAACCUGGGAACGGCAUCCGGAACUGUCAAGCUAGAGUGCAGGAGAGGAAGGUAGAAUUCCCGGUGUAGCGGUGAAAUGCGUAGAGAUCGGGAGGAAUAACAGUGGCGAAGGCGGCCUUCUGGACUGACACUGACACUGAGGUGCGAAAGCGUGGGUAGCAAACAGGAUUAGAUACCCCAGUAGUC